rnacentral:rRNA from 1 species
CGGCGGACGGGUGAGUAACGCGUGGGUAACCUGCCUCAUACAGGGGGAUAACAGCUGGAAACGGCUGCUAAUACCGCAUAAGCGCACAGUACCGCAUGGUACCGUGUGAAAAACUCCGGUGGUAUGAGAUGGACCCGCGUCUGAUUAGGUAGUUGGUGGGGUAACGGCCUACCAAGCCGACGAUCAGUAGCCGACCUGAGAGGGUGACCGGCCACAUUGGGACUGAGACAUGGCCCAA